GAUGAACGCUGGCGGCGUGCUUAACACAUGCAAGUCGAACGAUGAAGCCCAGCUUGCUGGGUGGAUUAGUGGCGAACGGGUGAGUAACACGUGAGUAACCUGCCCUUAACUCUGGGAUAAGCCUGGGAAACUGGGUCUAAUACCGGAUAGGAGCGUCCACCGCAUGGUGGGUGUUGGAAAGAUUUAUCGGUUUUGGAUGGACUCGCGGCCUAUCAGCUUGUUGGUGAGGUAAUGGCUCACCAAGGCGACGACGGGUAGCCGGCCUGAGAGGGUGACCGGCCACACGGGGACGGAGACACGGCCCAGACUCCUACGGGAGGCAGCAGUGGGGAAUAUUGCACAAGGGGCGCAAGCCUGAUGCAGCGACGCCGCGUGGGGGAGGACGGCCUUCGGGUGGUAAACCUCUUUCAGUAGGGAAGAAGCGAAAGGGACGGGACCUGCAGAAGAAGCACCGGCUAACUACGU
rnacentral:rRNA from 1 species